UCGUGGAGCGAUUUGUCUGGUUUAUUCCGAUAACGAGCGAGACUCCAGCCUGCUAAAUAGUCCGGGCGUUGCCACUGCGCCCGCCGACUUCUUAGAGGGAUACACGGCGUUCAGCCGCACGACACGGAGCAAUAACA
rnacentral:rRNA from 1 species